GCAGAGCCUACUUAAGCCACCUGUGGCAGGUUAGCUGCCUCUUUCUCCUUUGUCUUUGCCUGGUGGCUGCCACAUGGUCAGACCUGAGUUUCCUUCCUGGUUGUGCACUUUUACCUGGUCAUCUUGGUGUCCAUUGAAUCAAGUGGUGUUAAGCGGGAUCAGUGGACAGCUGGGUAAAUGUAGCUACUUGGGCAGGUAUGAGAAGCUGCAUAUUGUCAACAGGAAGUGUCUGAAAUAAUUACAU